UUUAUACAUAAAUGUAUCUGUACAAAAAUAUAUAUGAUUUGAAUCAAAUCAAAAAUGAACAUUUUUCAUUGAAAAAUCGACCUACUUCAUGAAAAUUUUACAGGUAUGAUGUAUGAAAAUAUAAUCAUUGGACUUCUAUAUUCUUUUUCAUCUGUUUUGCUUUAUAACAAUCUGAUGAAUAGAAAAAAGAAUGUAGCCAGAAAUUUGUCUUUAUGAAAACUGGAAAGACUCUAAUAGAGGGAAUGGAAAGCUUACAGUUUGUAAUUUGAAAUAAUAUAAAUAGUAAUAACAUAUCUAUUUCAUAUUCUUACAGGAACCUUUAGUUGAAAAUAUAGAAAGGCAAUUCCAAUAAAAAGGAUAUUUCAUAUUUAUUCAUGACACUGCAAAAUGUCCUGGUAUGUAAUAGCCAACAUCCUCUUCAUUACUUUUAUAUAUGUUCUUAAUAAACCCAACACAAAGCCAAAGCACCAAAAUUGCUGCUCCUCAUCUUCCUAUAUGUUCUAGAAAUUCUCAAAAGUAUGAAAAACAAGGUUUGAAACUUACAAAAUUUCUAAAUAUAUGUUCACAAAAAGUGGUGCAAAUCUUUAUCUGCACAUAAAAAUUCCAGAAACCUUGGAAGACCACGGAAAACUGGUUGAAAACAAAAGUAACUAAUUACAAAAAAUUGAUAUCCUCCAUUGAAAAUGCUGCUGUGUACACAAUCAAGACUGAAAUCACCUGCAGCACUCCCAUCUUAAAACAAACCAUAUCUAGACAUCACCAAAUCCAAGAAUAAAUUAUAAAGAGACAGGUAAGGAAACAUCCAUACCAAAAUACAAAAGUCAUUUAAACUGUUGAUUUGUGACUUUUUUAUGUGUAACUGCUUGCCUGAAUCUUAUGGGUUCAACACAAAUUUCAGUGUUAAACUUAACAAAUAAAUAAAUCAAAAUCAAACUUGUGGAUAGGUCUCAUAUGAAAAGAAAACUAGUUUUCAUAAUCUAAAUAUGAUGUACAAGAUUCAUCCAUAUACUAGUUUACAUGAUUCAUCCAUAUACUAGUUUACAAGAUUCAUCCAUAUACUAGUUUACAAGAUUCAUCCAUAUAUUAGUUAACAUGAUUCAUCCAUAUAUUAGUUUACAUGAUUCAUCCAUAUACUAGUUUACAAGAUUCAUCCAUAUACUAGUUUACAAGAUUCAUCCAUAUACUAGUUUACAAGAUUCAUCCAUAUAUUAGUUUACAUGAUUCAUCCAUAUACUAGUUUACAUGACUCAUCCAUAUACUAGUUUACAAGGUUCAUCCAUAUACUAGUUUACAAGAUUCAUCCAUAUACUAGUUUACAAGAUUCAUUCAUAUACUAGUUUACAAGAUUCAUCCAUAUAUUAGUUUACAUGAUUCAUCCAUAUACUAGUUUACAAGAUUCAUCCAUAUAUUAGUUUACAAGAUUCAUCCAUAUACUAGUUUACAAGAUUCAUCCAUAUAUUAGUUUACAAGAUUCAUCCAUAUACUAGUUUAAAAGAUUCAUCCAUAUACUAGUUUACAUGAUCCUAUUUUGCAUAAUGACUGAGAGAGAAGUGAAUCAAGAUCUUGACAACAGGGUCACAAACCUGUCAUCUACAGCAUAUCAAAAUUCUUCAAAAGUGGUGGUUAGUAGGUUUUGACAACCAACAUUUUACGAGGACAAACACAUUUUGAGUAUUUUGAAAUUGAAAUAAUAGUGAGGACCAACAAAUUUUCUUGAAUGAAAACCAGGGGAAAAGAUAUUUUGAGAGCUCUGGUAUAUAGUUAUCUUAGAUACACUACACACAAAAUGUGAUGGUUGUAAGCCAAGAUGAUUCCCAUAUAUCAGCUGUGUUUGACUGCAAGAUGGAACCAAACACCGUCAUGCACAUGGACACAAAGGAUAAAAUGUUUUAAUGGAAUCAAAUUAAUUAUGAACCAGAUGCUCUGCAGGGCGCAGCUUUAUACGAUCACAGAGGUCGAACCUUGAACUGUUGGGGUAAGUAUGGACACAACAUCUAAGCUUGAUACAGCUCUGAAUUUGGAUUGUGAUUAAAUAGUUGACACAACAUAGGUUUCUGACAAAGAAUGAAUGUGGUCUAAGAACUUAUACUUAAAAACUUAAAAAUUUUAAAUUGGACAUUUACCUAUUAUGGUCCAAUAUCCAAAAUCUAAAUACAUGGUUUGAUUCAGCAUAUCAUAGAACCCCAAGAAUUCAAUUUUUAUCAAACUAGUUUAAUUUUGGACCCUUUGGACCUUAAUGUAGACCAAUUUGAAAACAGGAUCAAAAAUAAAGAAUCUAAAUACAUGGUUAGAUUUGGCAAAUCAAAGAACCCCAAUAAUUCAUUUUUUGAUGAAAUCAAACAGUUUAAUUUUGGCCCCUUUUUUGGCCCCUAACUCCUAUACUGUUGGGACCAAAACUCCCAAAAUCAAUCCCAACCUUGCUUUUGUGGUCAUAAACCUUGUGUUAAAAUUUCAUAGAUAUCUAAAAUUGAGAAUGGAAAUGGGGAAUGUGUCAAAGAGACAACAACCCGACCAAAUAAAAAACAAAAAACAACAGCAGAGGUCACCAACAGGUCUUCAAUGUAGCGAGAAAUUCCCGCACCCGGAGGCGUCCCUCAGCUGGCCCCUAAACAAAUAUAUACUAGUCUAUUUACUUAUAAUAAAGUUAUUGUGCAAAAACCAAGAAAAAUGCUUAUUUGGGACUUUGUUUUGGACCCUAAUUCCUAAACUGUUGCAACCAAAACUCCCAAAAUCAAUCCCAACCUUCCUUUUGUGGUCAUAAACCUUAUGUCAAAAUUUCAUAGAUUUCUGAACACUUCUACUAAAGUUAUUGAGCGAAAAACCAAGAAAAAUGCUUUUUGGGGCCCUUUUUGGCCCCUAAUUCCUAAACUGUUGGCACCAAAACUCCCUAAAUAAAUCCCAACCUUCCUUUUAUGGUCAUAAACCUUGUGUUUAAAUUUCAAAUAUUUCUAUUUACCUAUACUAAAGUUAUAGUGCGAAAACCAAAUGACUUCUGACGCUAACAUCAUACCAAUAUACGACCAAAAAAUUUUCAAUUUUUGCGGUCGUAUAAUAGGAAAUCAAAGUAUUUUAAAGUGAUAUAUUGGACUGAUUGAUUGGUGUUUUAACACCACUUUCAGCAUUAUAGUGCUUUUUGUGGCAGUCAAAUGUACCUACCAGGUACCAGAUUCAAGCUAUAAACAGUCGUCAGUACUGACAGGCUAGUGAUACAUUAGUUCUGACUACUUAGACCACCUGGCCACUGAGGUAAUGUGGACAUAGAUUGAUGGAAUCUUAAAAGGUACAUAUUAAAUAUACAAUGUAAAGCUUUUCUUAUUUCUUACAUCCAAUUGCAUUGAGUGUGUGGGUAAAGGUUAUAUCUUUGGCUAGCUUGCUUGAUAGCUGAAUAGUAAAGUCAUUAUUAGGUAAGGUAAACUAUAUGCCUUUCGAAGUAGUCUAGUCCUACAGACAGAUUAUUGGUUAUCUGUCAGACUAGUAUACUCUUAGAGGAUGAGAGUUACCUAACCUAAUUAUGACUUCAAGGUUCAGCUAACAAGCAAGUUAACCAAAGAUAAUACUUUUACCUACACACUCAAUGCAAUCGGCUGUAAAUAUAAAGCUUUGAAACACUAUUAUUUGCUGACAAAAUGGCCUAAGUUUUGUCUUAGUAAGACAUUAAUUGAAAAUAGGGUUUGCUCUACACAAUCUUAACAUGAAUCAAAUGAUUUUUAGAUUCAGAUUCUGAUAACAAA
rnacentral:lncRNA from 1 species